GAUGAACGCUGGCGGCGUGCUUAACACAUGCAAGUCGAACGGAGCAUUUAGGAUAGAUUCCGUCGGUUGGAAGGGCUUGAUGACUGAGUGGCGGAAGGCUGAGUAACGCGUGGGUAACCUGCCUUGUACUGGGGGAUAGCAGCUGGAAAUGGCUGGUAAUACCGCAUAGGCGCACAAUGUUGCAUGCCAUGGUGUGAACAGGUCCGGUGAUAUAAGAUGGAGGCGCUUCUGAUUUGCUAGUUGGUGAGUGAACAGCGCACCAAGGCGACGAUCAGUAGCCGAGAUGAGAGGCUGACCCGCGACACUGGGACUGAGAAACAGUCGAGAAUCCUACGGGAGGGAGCAGUGGGGAAUACAGCACAAUGGAGGGAAUGCAGAUGCAGCGACGCCGGGUGAGUGAAGAAGUUAUUCGUGAUGUAAAGUACGAUCAGCAGGGAAGAUAGUGACGGUACCUGACUAAGAAGCACCGGCUAACUACGUG
rnacentral:rRNA from 1 species